rnacentral:rRNA from 1 species
GUCUUUCUGUUAUGAUAGAAAGUCUAGUCUGCCCACUGAUUUGUUGAAUGGCUGCAGUAUUUUGACUGUACAAAGGUAGCAUAAUCAUUAGUUUUUUAAUUGAAAGCUGGAAUGAAUGGCUGGAUGAGAUAACAGCUGUCUCUUUAUUAUUUAUUGAAUUUUAUUUUUGAGUAAAAAAGCUUAAAUUUAGGUAAAAGACGAGAAGACCCUAUAGAGUUUAAUAAUUUAAGUUAAAUAGUUUUUUAGAAUUUACAAAAUAUUUUUUCUUCAAUUAUUUUGUUGGGGUGAUUAUAUAAUUUGAUAAACUUAUAUUUUAUGAACAAUAAUUUUUGAUUAUUUGAUCCAAUAUUUUUGAUUAAAAGAUUAAAUUACCUUAGGGAUAACAGCGUAAUUUUUCUUGAGAGUUCUGAUUAAUAGGAGAGUUUGCGACCUCGAUGUUGGAUUAAAAUUAAGUUUUGGUGCAAUCGCUAAAAUUUUAGGUCUGUUCGACCUUUAAAAUUUUACAUGAUCUGAGUUUAAACCGGUGUGAGCCAGGUUGGUUUCUAUCUUUAUUCUUUUUAACCAUUUUAGUACGAAAGGACCAAUUGGUUAAUUAAUAAUUUUGUUUUUGAAUAUUAAUAUUAUUUUGGCAGAUUAGUGCGAUAGAUUUAGAAUCUUUAUAUGUAUUGAAUUACAAAUAAUAUUGGUAUUAAUUGAUUAUUUUUUACUUUUUAUUUCUUAUUUGUUAUUAAUUGUUACAGUUCUAGUAGGUGUGGCUUU